rnacentral:rRNA from 1 species
UACGGGGGGAGCAAGCGUUGUUCGGAUUUACUGGGCGUAAAGGGCGCGUAGGCGGUCGUGACAAGUCACUUGUGAAAUCUCCGGGCUUAACUCGGAACGGUCAAGUGAUACUGUCGGACUAGAGUACAGAAGGGGCGACUGGAAUUCUCGGUGUAGCGGUGAAAUGCGUAGAUAUCAGGAGGAACACCAAUUGCGAAGGCAGCUCGCUGGAACGUAACUGACGCUGAGACGCGAAAGCGUGGGGAGCAAACAGG